rnacentral:rRNA from 1 species
GAUCAUGGCUCAGGAUGAACGCUGGCGGCGUGCUUAACACAUGCAAGUCGAACGGGAAAUACCUUAUUGAAACUUCGGUGGAUUUAAUUUAUUUCUAGUGGCGGACGGGUGAGUAACGCGUGGGUAACCUGCCUUAUACUGGGGGAUAACAGCCAGAAAUGACUGCUAAUACCGCAUAAGCGCACAGAACCGCAUGGUUCGGUGUGAAAAACUCCGGUGGUAUAAGAUGGACCCGCGUUGGAUUAGCUGGUUGG